GGGGGGGGGAUUAGUAGGGAGGAUAUCUUCUCGUUCUUCUAGAAAGGCUGUUUCAGUUCUGCAUUCCAGAAACCUCUAUGUGGUGAUUUUAGCAGUGGUCUGCAUGCUGUUCUCUGUGAUAUCCACCAGUCUAGCUCUGCUGUGUCUGUGAACCUGUCACCAUGAACCCCAACCCUGGAGAGGCUUCCAGAGCCUGAAGUCACUUUCUUUAUUCAUAAGCUGAGACCAGAUACACCGGAAGCCACCCUAGGAUCAAGGGCCUAAACCACCUAAGCAUCCAGCACACACCAGGGGCUCAAAAGAUGUUUGGAAGAAUGGAUGAAAAACCCUGUGACCCUUCAUUUGAACCUAAACACUACAUGUAACUAAAGAUCAGUCACUUCUCAGGCAGCUAUCAUCUGUGAGAGCCUGUGUGCCGGCCCUGUGACUGAGGCCCUCAUGUACAUAUUUCAUCCAUCCAGCCAUUUAUGCAUCCCACAAUUCACCCUUCGCUGCCCACCAUCCACACCAGGCAC